UACAGGGGGGGCAAGCGUUGUUCGGAAUUACUGGGCGUAAAGAGCGCGCAGGCGGUCGUUCAAGUCGAGUGUGAAAGCCCCCGGCUCAACUGGGGAGGGUCAUUCGAUACUGAUCGACUUGAAGGCAGGAGAGGGAAGUGGAAUUCCCGGUGUAGUGGUGAAAUGCGUAGAUAUCAGGAGGAACACCGAUGGCGAAGGCAGCUGCCUGGCCUAACACUGACGCUGAGGUGCGAAAGCGUGGGGAGCGAACGGG
rnacentral:rRNA from 1 species